rnacentral:rRNA from 1 species
CGGAUUAAUACCCCAUAAAACAGGGGUCCCGCAUGGGAAUAUUUGUUAAAGAUUCAUCGCUGAUAGAUAGGCAUGCGUUCCAUUAGGCAGUUGGCGGGGUAACGGCCCACCAAACCGACGAUGGAUAGGGGUUCUGAGAGGAAGGUCCCCCACAUUGGUACUGAGACACGGACCAAACUCCUACGGGAGGCAGCAGUGAGGAAUAUUGGUCAAUGGCCGAGAGGCUGAACCAGCCAAGUCGCGUGAAGGAAGAAGGAUCUAUGGUUUGUAAACUUCUUUUAUAGGGGAAUAAAGUGGAGGACGUGUCCUUUUUUGUAUGUACCCUAUGAAUAAGCAUCGGCUAACUCCGUGCCAGCAGCCGCGGUAAUACGGAGGAUGCGAGCGUUAUCCGGAUUUAUUGGGUUUAAAGGGUGCGUAGGUGGUGAUUUAAGUCAGCGGUGAAAGUUUGUGGCUCAACCAUAAAAAUUGCCGUUGAAACUGGGUUACUUGAGUGUGUUUGAGGUAGGCGGAAUGCGUGGUGUAGCGGUGAAAUGCAUAGAUAUCACGCAGAACUCCGAUUGCGAAGGCAGCUUACUAAACCAUAACUGACACUGAAGC